rnacentral:rRNA from 1 species
CCUACGUGGAGCAGCAGUGGGGAAUAUUGCGCAAUGGGCGAAAGCCUGACGCAGCGACGCCGCGUGAGGGAUGAAGGUCUUCGGAUCGUAAACCUCUGUCAGCAGGGAAGAACGGUCACUGUGCUAAUCAGCAGUGAAUUGACGGUACCUGCAAAGGAAGCACCGGCUAACUCCGUGCCAGCAGCCGCGGUAAUACGGAGGGUGCGAGCGUUAAUCGGAAUUACUGGGCGUAAAGCGCUCGUAGGCGGUAUGUCAUGUCAAGGGUGAAAUCCCCGCGCUCAACGUGGGAACUGCCUUUGAAACUGGCAAACUGGAGUGUGUGAGAGGAUAGUGGAAUUCCAGGUGUAGGAGUGAAAUCCGUAGAUAUCUGGAGGAACAUCAGUGGCGAAGGCGACUAUCUGGCACAUAACUGACGCUGAGGAGCGAAAGCGUGGGUAGCAAACAGGAUUAGAUACCCUAGUAGUC